AAAGGCGGUUAGAAUUUUCACUUACAAUGAAAAAUACCCUUUAGGGCGCUUUUA
rnacentral:tRNA from 1 species